rnacentral:rRNA from 1 species
UAGGGAAUCUUCCACAAUGGACGCAAGUCUGAUGGAGCAACGCCGCGUGAGUGAAGAAGGCUUUCGGGUCGUAAAACUCUGUUAUUGAAGAAGAACGUGUGUGACAGUAACUGGUCAUGCAGUGACGGUAUUCAAUCAGAAAGUCACGGCUAACUACGUGCCAGCAGCCGCGGUAAUACGUAGGUGGCAAGCGUUGUCCGGAUUUAUUGGGCGUAAAGCGAGUGCAGGCGGUCUUUUAAGUCUGAUGUGAAAGCCUUCGGCUUAACCGAAGAAGGGCAUCGGAAACUGGGAGACUUGAGUGCAGAAGAGGAGAGUGGAACUCCAUGUGUAGCGGUGAAAUGCGUAGAUAUAUGGAAGAACACCAGUGG